UAGGACGUCCCCUUCGGGGGCAGAGUGACAGGUGGUGCAUGGUUGUCGUCAGCUCGUGUCGUGAGAUGUUGGGUUAAGUCCCGCAACGAGCGCAACCCUUGAUCUUAGUUGCCAGCAUUCAGUUGGGCACUCUAAGGUGACUGCCGGUGACAAACCGGAGGAAGGUGGGGAUGACGUCAAAUCAUCAUGCCCCUUAUGACCUGGGCUACACACGUGCUACAAUGGACAGAACAAAGGGCAGCGAAACCGCGAGGUUAAGCCAAUCCCACAAAUCUGUUCUCAGUUCGGAUCGCAGUCUGCAACUCGACUGCGUGAAGCUGGAAUCGCUAGUAAUCGCGGAUCAGCAUGCCGCGGUGAAUACGUUCCCG
rnacentral:rRNA from 1 species